rnacentral:rRNA from 1 species
AAAUUUGAAAUCUGGCUUCCGCCCGAGUUGUAAUUUGCAGAGGAUGCUUCGGGGCAGCGGCCGGUCUAAGUUCCUUGGAACAGGACGUCACAGAGGGUGAGAAUCCCGUAUGUGACCGGUUGGCACCCCAUACGUAGCUCCUUCGACGAGUCGAGUUGUUUGGGAAUGCAGCUCUAAAUGGGAGGUAAAUUUCUUCUAAAGCUAAAUACCGGCCAGAGACCGAUAGCGCACAAGUAGAGUGAUCGAAAGAUGAAAAGCACUUUGGAAAGAGAGUUAAACAGCACGUGAAAUUGUUGAAAGGGAAGCGCAUGCAACCAGACUUGUCGGCGGUGUUCCGCCGGUCUUCUGACCGGUCCACUCGCCGCCGGCAGGCCAGCAUCGUCUGGGCGCGUCGGAGAAAGGCGUGGGGAAUGUGGCCCUCGGGUGUUAUAGCCUCACGCACAAUACGACGCCGCUCGGGCGAGGUCCGCGCUUCGGCUAGGAUGCUGGCGUAAUGGUCGUCUGCGGCCCGUCUUGAAACACGGACCAAGGAGUCUAACAUCUAUGCGAGUGUUCGGGUGUCAAACCCCUACGCGGAAUGAAAGUGAACGGAGGUGGGAGCUUUUGCGCACCAUCGACCGAUCCUGAUGUCUUCGGAUGGAUUUGAGUAAGAGCAUAGCUGUUGGGACCCGAAAGUUGGUGAACUAUGCCUGAAUAGGGUGAAGCCAGAGGAAACUCUGGUGGAGGCUCGCAGCGGUUCUGACGUGCAAAUCGAUCGUCAAAUUUGGGUAUAGGGGCGAAAGACUAA